GAGCGAACAGACGAGGAGCUUGCUCCUCUGACGUUAGCGGCGGACGGGUGAGUAACACGUGGAUAACCUACCUAUAAGACUGGGAUAACUUCGGGAACCCGGAGCUAAUACCGGAUAAUAUAUUGAACCGCAUGGUUCAAUAGUGAAAGACGGUUUUGCUGUCACUUAUAGAUGGAUCCGCGCCGCAUUAGCUAGUUGGUAAGGUAACGGCUUACCAAGGCAACGAUGCGUAGCCGACCUGAGAGGGUGAUCGGCCACACUGGAACUGAGACACGGUCCAGACUCCUACGGGAGGCAGCAGUAGGGAAUCUUCCGCAAUGGGCGAAAGCCUGACGGAGCAACGCCGCGUGAGUGAUGAAGGUCUUCGGAUCGUAAAACUCUGUUAUUAGGGAAGAACAAAUGUGUAAGUAACUAUGCACGUCUUGACGGUACCUAAUCAGAAAGCCACGGCUAACUACGUGCCAGCAGCCGCGGUAAUACGUAGGUGGCAAGCGUUAUCCGGAAUUAUUGGGCGUAAAGCGCGCGUAGGCGGUUUUUUAAGUCUGAUGUGAAAGCCCACGGCUCAACCGUGGAGGGUCAUUGGAAACUGGAAAACUUGAGUGCAGAAGAGGAAAGUGGAAUUCCAUGUGUAGCGGUGCAAUGCGCAGAGAUAUGGAGGAACACCAGUGGCGAAGGCGACUUUCUGGUCUGUAACUGACGCUGAUGUGCGAAAGCGUGGGGAUCAA
rnacentral:rRNA from 1 species